GAUGAACGCUGGCGGCGUGCUUAACACAUGCAAGUCGAACGAGAAAUGGAGACGGAAACCUUCGGGCGGAAGCCUUCAUUUCGAGUGGCGGACGGGUGAGUAACGCGUGGGUAACCUGCCUCAUACAGGGGGAUAACAGUUGGAAACGACUGUUAAUACCGCAUAAGACCACAGCACCGCAUGGUGCGGGGGUAAAAACUCCGGUGGUAUGAGAUGGACCCGCGUUCGAUUAGCCAGUUGGCGGGGUAACGGCCCACCAAAGCGACGAUCGAUAGCCGAUCUGAGAGGAUGACCGGCCACAUUGGGACUGAGACACGGCCCAAACUCCUACGGGAGGCAGCAGUGGGGAAUAUUGCACAAUGGGGGAAACCCUGAUGCAGCGACGCCGCGUGAGUGAAGAAGUAUUUCGGUAUGUAAAGCUCUAUCAGCGGGGAAA
rnacentral:rRNA from 1 species